UUUUAACAUCACAGGUGUAUAUUCUCGAUCAGCGAACUAUAAAUAACUUACCAUGCAGUCUUCUACUGAGGACGCUUUUUCUUGUGCAGUUUCGUAAAAGUGAAAGUUAAAUUCAUGUUUUGAGUUCUUCAUUGGAUACGUUUUCACCCGUAGAUGCACUUUUGGUUUCAUUUAUCUAUUUUGGAUUGUUUACAUGCGAGACAGGAACUAAGCACAUACUUUAAACACUAGCUGACAGGUGGUACAUGUUUUCAUAACUGUAUUGUAUUUCUAAGUUGUAAAUCCAGUUUCGAUUUGCUCAUUGAGCAUCUACUGAUGAUGGUGAGUUUCACGUUCAUUACUGAUGAAACGUUUGAACCUCAGUGAAAUGCGUUAGGCUAAUCUUUGCUGUCAUGUUGUUUACUCCCGUGCUGUGUGCGAGGUAGGCUAAAACAAUCAAAUACCAUUAAAUAAGGCCUGUAUAAUGUGUUUUUAAGUAGCCUGUUAUUAUAGUGGUUUCAGUUUGAUACGGCCAUCACUAUCAUGCAACGCAUUUUAAAACGCAGAUAGCGAGACUGCAGUGACAUUGAUACACAGUAGGGUUUAAAACACGUUUGUGUUUGUGAAUUCCUCUCUGUAGAUGAAAUGCACACCAAUAUACAUACAGCUGUGCCAAAGAAGUAAAUCUAUUUCUUUUGUAAUUCACUAGAGACAACUAAAUAUAAUCUGAUUGUUUACUGGUGAUAAAUGCAGUAGAAUCUGAUGCUGAUGAUACACGGGGCAACUUUUUGAGCAACUUUGUUAUUUGGGGGAUAACUUUCCGUUAUUCAUCUUAGGCUAGAUGUAAUAAUAAAAAGAUGUCUAAUCUGAGCAGUGUUGUCUUCAGUGAGGCUCCGUCCCAAAUGCCCAGCGCCGACUCGACCGCUCUGCACGCUGGAGCUUCAGGUAAACACGUCUCACAUCCACUGCACGCUUCAGAACAUGAAUCAGACCAUUGGGAUUUUUAGAUAUCCUGCAUAAGAAAAACAAUGUAAUGUUGCAGUGGAAAAUGGCUGGAAAAGACAUGAUCUCUCCAUGUACGAUCAGUGAUUGUAUUACAGUUAGUAAAUCAUACACUUUCACAAGAUAAUCUGCUUUAAUAGUAACUCAGGUUGGUGUAGUAAUGACCCUGAGCGGGUCGUGUUUGAGCUGGAGCGAUGAACAUACAUGAAUGACUUUGUCUCCGUUGCAGUAAAUCAGGUGGAAAAGGACAUUAAAAAGAUGAACAUAAAGGAUCCAGUCGACAGAUCAUCGGUUUCUCACACACUGAAUGAAACACCUACAACAGAGCCCAGACAAACAAACCGAGAUCCUUGUUCAUACAGAGGUUUGCUCAAUCAAGGUGCGACCUGCUAUCUGAACGCUACCUUGCAGGUGCUCUUCAUGACCCCAGCGUUCAGAGACAAAGUGCUGCUGCUUGACACGAGAGAGAAAUUAAAGUCAGCGUUAAAGGAACUAUUCGAAGAGCUCAGAAAACAGGAAA